rnacentral:rRNA from 1 species
AGUUUGAUCCUGGCUCAGGACGAACGCUGGCGGCGCGCCUAACACAUGCAAGUCGAACGAGAGAUGAGGAGCUUGCUCUUCAAAUCGAGUGGCGAACGGGUGAGUAACGCGUGAGGAACCUGCCUCAAAGAGGGGGACAACAGUUGGAAACGACUGCUAAUACCGCAUAAGCCCACGGCUCGGCAUCGAGCAGAGGGAAAAGGAGUGAUCCGCUUUGAGAUGGCCUCGCGUCCGAUUAGCUGGUUGGUGAGGUAACGGCCCACCAAGGCGACGAUCGGUAGCCGGACUGAGAGGUUGAACGGCCACAUUGGGACUGAGACACGGCCCAGACUCCUACGGGAGGCAGCAGUGGGGAAUAUUGCACAAUGGGGGAAACCCUGAUGCAGCGACGCCGCGUGGAGGAAGAAGGUCUUCGGAUUGUAAACUCCUGUUGUUGAGGAAGAUAAUGACGGUACUCAACAAGGAAGUGACGGCUAACUACGUGCCAGCAGCCGCGGUAAAACGUAGGUCACAAGCGUUGUCCGGAAUUACUGGGUGUAAAGGGAGCGCAGGCGGGAAGACAAGUUGGAAGUGAAAUCCAUGGGCUCAACCCAUGAACUGCUUUCAAAACUGUUUUUCUUGAGUAGUGCAGAGGUAGGCGGAAUUCCCGGUGUAGCGGUGGAAUGCGUAGAUAUCGGGAGGAACACCAGUGGCGAAGGCGGCCUACUGGGCACCAACUGACGCUGAGGCUCGAAAGUGUGGGUAGCAAACAGGAUUAGAUACCCUGGUAGUCCACACUGUAAACGAUGAUUACUAGGUGUUGGAGGAUUGACCCCUUCAGUGCCGCAGUUAACACAAUAAGUAAUCCACCUGGGGAGUACGACCGCAAGGUUGAAACUCAAAGGAAUUGACGGAAG